AUUGAUAUUCUCCUCUACAAUUUGUGCACAUCUUUCAGGACCUUUAUUUCUCUUCCUGUAACCGCUAAGCUUAUUUUUCUGACUCCAAGUGGAAAUAAAGCUGUCUCAGGUGAUAUAACACAUUUUCCCAAAAUAACAUCUCAGUGGGAAAUGGCCACAUGCAUAUCUAGGCUUUUCUUUUUUUCAAACUGAUCUUACCUUGGACUGAACUAAUUGCCUUCCUUUUUAUGUCCAGUGUCUGUUCUUCUGGGUGAGUCUGUUUUGAUCACCUGCAUGGGCUUUCUGCAACUGUACAAGUUUUAGACUCAUCCUCUAUCCCUGUCUCCCAUCUCUUUUAUAUCGACUCAAACAUUAAGUUCUUUUUCUUUUCCCCAAAUUGUUUUGAACUAUUGAUCUCCUCUUCAUUCAAGUGACACAUUCCAUGUCCUCAUUUUACAAAUAAUAAUCCCACUGAAAUACAGCUUUGAUUCCAUCUGGAGCAAGGAGCCUAGCAGUGAGAUGCCCUAGUUAUAGAGAGGUGACCCAGAAAACAAGGACAGGAUGUACCUGAACCAAAGACAUUUCUAGAUCAGAUUAGAGUGGAACAAGAAGAAUAAUCUUUGUCCCUCUUGGAAAUUACACCCUUUUCUACUUAUAGAUGAGUGGACAAAACGUUCCUCUAGCCAGCUGAAGAUCUGGUUGCUGAUGGUGUCUUGUCUUUCAAUUGUGAGGUGGCAAAGUGUCAAGGUUUCUUUUCUAUACUCUAUUAGUUUCUUUUCUUAAUUCAGAUAAAGAACUUAAGGAAGAAAGGUGAUAUUUUUGAUUCACAAUUAGAUGACACGGUCCACGGUGACAGGUGACACAUGAUCAGGAAAGUAUUUUGGUGCUGGGUGCAAUAUCUGUGGCAGCAGGCAUAUGAGGCACUUGGUUGCAUCACAUCCUUACAAGAAGUGCAGAGAGAAUGCACUCCUUUCAUUUUUCUCUUCUCUUUGUGUACGAUUGUAUUGUAUAGUGUGGAGACACCACACUACAGUCCAGGGAAAAGAGGUGUCUUCCACCUCAGUCAAAAUUCCCUACAAACAUCUUCAUAGAAGUACUUGAAAAUUGAUCUCCUAGGUGAUUCCAAAUUCUGCCAAAUUGACAAUCAAAAUUUUACUAACAUCAAGCUAGAGAGCCAGUGGCUCAGUGGACAAGAGUACAUUUGUUCCUGAAAAGGACCCAAGUUCAGUCCUGAGCACCCAUGUCAAAUGAUUCAUAAUUGUGUGUGACUCUUGCUCUAGGGGAUCUGAUGCCCCCUUCUGGUCCCAUGGCACCUGUACUCAUAUUUGUAAACACCCCAACCCCAUUCCAGGCAUACAUACAUAAUC
rnacentral:lncRNA from 1 species